rnacentral:rRNA from 1 species
GAUGAACGCUAGCGACAGGCUUAACACAUGCAAGUCGAGGGGCAGCAUAGAAGUAGCAAUACUUUGGUGGCGACCGGCGCACGGGUGAGUAACGCGUAUGCAACCUACCUAUCAGGGGGGGAUAACCCGGCGAAAGUCGGACUAAUACCGCAUAAAACAGGGGCACCGCGUGGUGAUAUUUGUUAAAGAUUAAUUGCUGAUAGAUGGGCAUGCGUUCCAUUAGGUAGUUGGUGAGGUAAUGGCUCACCAAGCCGACGAUGGAUAGGGGAACUGAGAGGUUGGUCCCCCACACUGGUACUGAGACACGGACCAGACUCCUACGGGAGGCAGCAGUGAGGAAUAUUGGUCAAUGGGCGAGAGCCUGAACCAGCCAAGUCGCGUGAAGGAAGAAGGAUCUAUGGUUCGUAAACUUCUUUUGCAGGGGAAUAAAGUGGAGGACGUGUCCUCUUUUGUAUGUACCCUGAGAAUAAGGAUCGGCUAACUCCGUGCCAGCAGCCGCAGUAA